UAUUUUCGGCUGUGACGUAGGCGCCUGGGACGACACGCUCGCCAUCCUCGCCGGUGGGGACGAGGCCGUGGUGGCAUGUUUCGCGCCACUCUUCGCGCAUCUAGCAGAUCCACCUAUAUAGGCCGGCUCGGUUGCGGUCAGAGCAGCAAGAUUCCCAACAGAAUCGCGGUCGUCGGCCUCGGCGAGUCUCUGGCCUUCGCGGAUGCUGUCGGUCUCAACACGAGGCAAUUCCCAAUCUCUGAGGGCGCGACCUUUUGGCGAUGAGUAGGGCAGAUGAGCGAGUUUGUCCUUGCUUUUUGCUCCAGAAGCGAGAAGCCGACGUCAACGAUCUAGACUAGCAUCCGUUCGACGAUUCGGUGCGUGGCAUCGGACAGGGCGAGGACGAGGACGGCGGCGGCCGCGUUGACCACCGGACCGGCGGGAACACCAGCGGCUGCACCUGCCGCUGCGCACGCAGACGGCCGCGUUGACCAUGGGCCAGUAGCUGCCUCUGCCAUGGGCCUCCCUCUCAUAAAAAAGAACGCCCUCGCCCACAUUCUCUUCCCCUGCUCCUCAUGUGACGAUGGGCCUCCCUCUCAUAAAAAAGAACGCCCUCGCCCACAUUCUCUUCCCCUGCUCCUCAUGUGACGAUGGCUGAAUCCUACCCUGCUUUGCCUCUCCCCUUCCUCUGAUCUUGGUUUGCGUAUUGUAUUCAGGGACCCCUUGUAUUCAUCUGAAUUUGGAUGCCCUCUAGACUUAAUUAAAGUUGGUUCUUAUGAGUUUGAAUCAAUCACAUGAAGGGGUGCCUGCUAAGCAGUAAUAUUGAAAUUGAUCUAACCUACACAUAUAAUAGCUUUUAACAAUAGAAAUUUGGUUAACAUAAUUGAGGUGAAUACUGCUACCAUUGUCUAUAAUUUUCUGAUGUUGUCUUUUUUCCCCGGAGGUCUGCUGUUGCGUGGUUUAGAAUUUAGAUGCACCUCUGGUUAGUCUGCUACUAGGUCGAGAUUGGUCUCCGCCAGGCCUACGUGGUAGAGCUUCAUGUUGAAGACGUGUUAUUGCUUGCUCCUCUUCACCCUCCUGAUGGAUCGUCUCCUUGAUCAGUUGAGGUGGUUCCCCAUGCAUGAACGUAACCAUUGACCUAAAACAUGGCUAGCUCGAUGUGUGUCUGCCCUUGCGUGUGUAAUAAGUGUCUCUGUUUUUUCUCUUUUCCUUUCUACAUUUUGUAUUACGCUGCAAAUCGAUACUUCUAUACAUCAUACCAUUGUUUUGGUUGACAUGAUCAAAUGAAGCUCUAUUUUUUCUGCUAUAGUGCUAAGAGUCAUUACCAUUCAGUAUCUAGCCAAGGGAUCGUCUAAGAUAGUUGUUUUUAGUCAACUCCUGAAAGUUUUAAUAAGACAUCUAAGAGGUUAGUACCAACUCCUAUGUAAUGAUUUUUCAGCAGUAUACUUCAGUGCCGUUUUAGACUUCUGUAGUCAAAUGUCAUUUUAAUGGUAAAUUGUACGAAAACACCCAACCUUAAAUAUUUUAAUGUCCAAGAGAAUGUAUUUUCUCCUUUAUAUCCCUUUCUUAUUUUCUCCUUUGUGUGUCUAGCAUUUUUUUUCUCUCCAUAUAAGUUCUUUUUAACUGUUGGUUCUACCUUGCUUUCCCAGAUGUUCAAACUUGUAUCAAAGAAUCGGAAACCAGUUCAAGCUUGAGAUUUUGAGUGGAAUACAUCAAGCUCAAGUUCUGGUAUGAGGGGAGGCACAUUGGGUUAAGCCUGUCCUAGGUGAUGGCCAUAAACCUGCAGCCAUGCUUCCGGUGAAAAGUAACAGUACACAUUUAAGUAGUUGCUUCCUUUUCUCUGCUCCUUGGGGGAAUGCAUUGACAACUGAAGAUUAUUGUGAGCAUCUAUUUGUUAUGUAUAUUGCGGGCUGGCCAUGCACUGCUUUGGUUCCAUAGAAUCCACUUUCCCUGCCGCAUCUCAGUUCGGUGAGAUGUUCAUCAGCAUGUGCUACCUUGCUGCGAACAAAAUGAUGAGCCCCUUCCUCACACAGCGCACCAAGAGCAAGAUCAUUUUUUUACAGCCAGACCAAAUGAUCCUUAAUUCACCACUUCUGACUUUUUAAACGAGCUCUGUAGCAAAUCUUCAUCCAAGAAAAAAAAUAGUUGAGAUCCCUAUCACCGAGCCGAGGGUGAUCAAGUCGCAGAUCACGAUGGGACAAUGGGAACUCCAAGAUGAUGCAGAUCUUCUGAAGAACAAGCAUACUGCUCAUCUGGGAGGUGCAAUAAUAACUGGACAAGUUCAAUCUUCUACGCGAGGCAUUGAUAUGCUCUCACUACUGAGAAGUGGCUACUGAAGAAGUUUAGAUGCUUAGCUAUUAUGUGGACAACACUAGCAGAGCUCUGAAAAUACAAAAGGCGAACAAAUUGAAACCACACUUUAUGCUUUAUCCAAAGAACAACUGGAAGCAAUCGAGGGAAAACGCUUGAAGUUAAACAUUGUGAUCACAAGAGAUGAACAACCCACACAACUGGUGGUUCUGUUAAUGCAAGGAUUGUUGGAAGAAAACAGCUCCAACUGGAAAUUCCUUCAGAUGUCCCAGCUGUAAAGCCACACAGGAACGACAUAGGUAUAAGCUCUCAGUUAGGGCAACUGAUAUUAGGCCGAACAACUAGAACAAGAGGGUAAUCAACCAAUUCAUGUUUCUUGGUGACAACGACACUACCCUCACAGGUAGAGAUGCAAUACUGCUUGCAGCAACCACUAACAGCUGUCCUGAUUUCGUCCCUCCAGCCAUUGCUAACACAGCAGGGAAGAAGUGUAUUGUUUUCGCUGUGACACCGAAAACUCUUGACAUGAACGAUGGUUUAGUAUUCUUCACCAUGUCAAACGUCCAGCUGAUUAAUACUCCAGCACCAGCAGAGCCAUCUCCUAGCAACUCCAGACGAGCAGCAACCAAUGAAGCAUCUGUGCUUACACAACCACCUUGAGAUAUACAGAAUUAGCUUGAGGAUGAUAAAGACCUACAAGCUUGAGAUAUACAGAAUCAGUUUGCUCUUUUUUCAGGUUUCCACUAGAAAAGGCAGCAAACUAAAAUAAGCUUGUGGCUUCGGGAGCUGUCGUUGCCAAAACCGAAACAGCAAACAGGCCGAAGAAGCAGUCGACACAGACAUAGGAGGUUGAAAUUAUCGAAUGAGCUAUAAUAUAAUCUUAUAAUCGGCAGGACAAAAGCUCAACACGUGAAGGCAAGAAUAUAAAGAAUACAUUGACAGCAACUAAAACAGCAAAAAAAAGUGCUACUGGUGAGAAGAAGGGCCUAGCGAAGGAACUCUUCCCGCAGAUAACUGUCUAAUAUAGAUAUUAAUUGCAUAUCAUAUAGCAUUACAAUGAAACAUCAAUCUCACAUCAAACUCUUUUUUUUUGAGAACUCUCAAAUACCCUUACUGCAACUAUCAUCAAAGACAGACAUGCAACUAUGUGGCUACAAACACAACUUUCCUUCAGGAAAUCACUCCUCCGACUUUUGUUAUCGACACGAAGUUGUAUAAUAAUAUCAUCCUAUGUAAUGCAACCAGUAGAUGCAUCCUAUGUAAUGCAGCAGCUUCAACAAUUAACCAUGCUUCACAUGGUUCAAUCAAUGCACAGAAACAAUUAUUUGCGGGAAAAGCUAGCCAAACUUCCGCAGGUACUAUAAAGUCAAGUCAGCUCAGCCUAAGGAUCCAAGAGGAGGAAUAAAACCAUGAAUCUGCCGACGUUAGUCCGCAGAAGACCAUGUUUAGAGCUGCUAAUCUACGUUCAGUCUCUAGAAACAAAGACUUCUAUUAUACUGUUGUAUUAAGUGCCUACCAGGCAAAUAAAUUACUUGUCGUGCUACUAUGUUCUUUA